AAUCAGCAGCCGAGCCGUUGAGCCAGGGUGGGAAGCAGGGCUGUCCUUUGGCACCGUCUGAUCCGGGCUGCGGGAUUGAAGGCGGUGGUCGCUAAGCUAGGUCUAAGACGGACAGCCAGGGCGACAACCAGUCUGUCGCUACGUGUCCCCAGCUUCCCUGUUUCCGAGCGCCUCUCAAGGCGCACGCUCUGGACUUGUUCAGAUGGGGGAAGGGAACCGGUCUGGAACUCCCCACUAUUCCCGAGGUUCCCACGCCUCCAGAUCCGGAGAGGCCGUUUCGCUCCAGUGGCCUGGCCCCCCUGCCCCCUCAGCCUAGCCGUUCUUGAUCGUAAGUGCUAAAAGGAACCAAGAAGGAGAACUCAAGAAUCCACACAUAAGCCCAAACCCUGACAGGAGCCUUUUCCUCUCGCAUCUCCCGCCUACGCGGCCUCCUAGUAGCUUUUUAACUGCUGGCGGAGAAAGCAGGAGUUUUCUUAUCAGUGAAAUAAGUACAAUAUUGCUCAUGUGAGUGGAAUAGUCCCACUGUUGGAAACAUCUCUUGCAAAGGCUCAGCCUAGCCAGAAGACCUCACCAGAUGCCACAGCCAGCUGACCUUGGACUUUUCAGCCUCACGACUGUGAGCAAUAUAAACCUCUAUUCUUUACAAAUUACUAUUCUCUGGUUUCUCAAGAACCUCGGAUGUGCCUGGAGAUAAACCUGCUGAAACUUUCCUCUUGGCUUUGAGGAUUGGCCUGUGGUAUUUAAUUACAGCAACAGAAAAUGGACUAAGACAUUCCAAUUUAUCAGACUCCCUUUCAUAGUCAAGCAGAAGCAAGAAGAUGAAAUUGGGAUUUCUAAAUCUCAACACUAUUGACAUUUGAGGCCAAAUAAGUCAUUGUUUUGGGUCACGGUCCUGUGCAUGUAGAAUGUGUAACAGCAUUCCUGGCUUCUAUGCACUAGAUGUCAGGAGCACCUUUCAUCACCCAAACUGAAGACCAAAAAUGUCUCCAGACGUUGUCAGAUAAUCCUGUGGGGUCAAAAUCAUGCGUGGCUUUAAAUUAUUGUACCAUUUAAUCUUACACCAACUCUUUAUAAAGUUCAGAGACAAAAUUCAAGAUAAGGCUACAGAACCUAGACUAGAGCAAAGGUCUUUUAUUUCUGAGAUGAGAGUUUUAUCCACUACACCAGAGCUGCCCCCAAACAAGUGCUAAAAGGCUACUCGGCCAAAGUUCUUCUGAUUUUUUUCUGCAGUGCCAAUACUGCGUCUUAAAGACCAGAACACACAUUAAGCCCUUCCAGGUUGCUGUCUUUUUUAUUGUACUUACUGCUUUAGUAGCUCAGCCUCACCUCAGAUAACUCAAUUCACUCACCAGCAGAUAUCACUCCUACUUAUUGGAUUUUUGGAUGGGUUUCACAAUAGGUCUUCUUUAGGACAAGAUGUUCAGCUUUUGUUGUUGUUGUUGUUGUUGUUUUUUGUUUUUCUUCUCAGUUACACAGAAGCAUCUAAUGCCUGAAUACUAGAGUCAUGUAAGAUAUAAGGAUGCUCCUAACCAGGAAGAAGACAAUGUUAACUACUGAGCAGGGAAUUAUGAUUCCCUGCGGAUGAGGGAAAACAGGAGCAAGAACAAGACACACUUUGAAGGGGUGGGUUGCCCCUCCACACCUGUGGGUGUUUCUCGUAAGGUGGAACGAGAGACUUGGAAAAGAAAAAGACACAGAGACAAAGUAUAGAGAAAGGAAUAAGGGGGCCCGGGGAACCAGCGUUCAGCAUAUGGAGGAUCCCGCCAGGCUCUGAGUUCCCUUAGUAUUUAUUGAUCAUUCGUGGUGUUUCUCCGAGAGGGGGAUGUGUCAGGGUCACAAGACAAUAGUGAGGAGAGGGUCAGCAGACAAACACAUGAACAAAGGUCUUUGCAUCAUAGACAAGGUAAAGGAUUAAGUGCUGUGCUUUUAGAUAUGCAUACACAUAAACAUCUCAAUGCUUUACAAAGCAGUAUUGCUGCCCGCAUGUCCCACCUCCAGCCCUAAGGCAGUUUUUCCCUAUCUCAGUAGAUGGAACGCACAAUCGGGUUUUAUACCGAGACAUUCCAUUGCCCAGGGACGGGCAGGAGACAGAUGCCUUCCUCUUGUCUCAACUGCAAGAGGCAUGCCUUCCUCUUAUACUAAUCCUCCUCAGCACAGACCCUUUACAGGUGUCGGGCUGGGGGACGGUCAGGUCUUUCCCUUCCCACGAGGCCAUAUUUCAGACUAUCACAUGGGGAGAAACCUUGGACAAUACCUGGCUUUCCUAGGCAGAGGUCCCUGCGGCCUUCCGCAGUGUUUGUGUCCCUGGGUACUUGAGAUUAGGGAGUGGUGAUGACUCUUAAGGAGCGUGCUGCCUUCAAGCAUCUGUUUAACAAAGCACAUCUUGCACCGCCCUUAAUCCAUUUAACCCUGAGUUUGACACAGCACAUGUUUCAGAGAGCACGGGGUUGGGGGUAAGGUCACAGAAUCUCAAGGCAGAAGAAUUUUUCUUAGUACAUAACAAAAUGGAGUCUCCCAUGUCUACUUCUUUCUACACAGACACAGUGACAGUCUGAUCUCUCUUGUUUUUCCCCACAACACUUAACAGAGAUCUGAUCUUUCCUUCCAUCCACACUUGUUACAGGGUACUGCCCCCUCCAAGCCAGCAGGUGGUUUAGUUUUCUGUUACAGUGAAAGGAGAGUGUGUUUGCUCCCACAAUAUUGACAGGCCAGCUGUUAUUACUAGUGUUAUCAUUAACAAAAAUACAAUUCAUUGUGUACCAUCAGUGCUUAAAUAGUAUGUCUCAAAGGACUUUUUUUAAAAGGCCAGAUUCACCCCUGGAGUGGAGCUGGGCCUGAGGUUACCAGAUGUCUCUGCAAGUCAUCUGAAUUUAUCAUCUUCCCUAGUUCAGCCAUCUGGCUCACAUGCUGGGCAGAGACUCAUUGGCUCCUUGCCAGAGGUCGUGUGACUUGAAUACCCAUAUCUUAAACAAGUCUAGAAUAUGAAAGAGGGAGAGGAGAAGAAUUGAUAGAAAGUUAGUCUUCACCCUUAGAAUUCUGUACUUUCAAAUUUUAUUUCAGAGAUUUGCAUAUCAUUGAUUUAGGGCAGCAUUUUACAGUUCAUUCAUCCUGAUUAUUUAAACUACAAAACAAGGAUAGAAACUUAAGACAUUUUAUCUUGACUAUAUGAAAUAUAUAGGAAAAUAGGAGGGAUGGAGAGGAGGCGCCUUCUUUUGUUUUGUCUUUUUCGAUAAUUUCCCUCCAUAAGCCAGUUGGCUUAUCUUUGGCAAAUUAAAGAGAUUAAGCUAGUU